UACGUAGGGUGCAAGCGUUAAUCGGAAUUACUGGGCGUAAAGCGUGCGUAGACGGUUAUUUAAGUCAGGUGUGAAAGCCCCGGGCUCAACCUGGGAAUUGCAUUUGAGACUGAAUAGCUAGGGUGCGGAAGAGGGAAGCGGAAUUUCCGGUGUAGCGGUGAAAUGCGUAGAUAUCGGAAGGAACACCAGUGGCGAAAAGCGGCUUCCUGGUCCAGCACCGACGUCAGGCACGAAAGCGUGGGGAGCAAACAGG
rnacentral:rRNA from 1 species